GAUGAAGAAUGUAGCGAAAUGCGAUAAGUAAUGUGAAUUGCAGAAUUCAGUGAAUCAUCGAAUCUUUGAACGCACAUUGCGCCCGCCAGUAUUCUGGCGGGCAUGCCUGUUCGAGCGUCAUUUCAACCAUCAAGCCCCCGGCUUGUGUUGGGGACCUGCGGCUGCCGCAGGCCCUGAAAAGCAGUGGCGGGCUCGCUGUCACACCGAGCGUAGUAGCAUACAUCUCGCUCUGGGCGUGCUGCGGGUUCCGGCCGUUAAACCACCUUCAUAACCCAAGGUUGACCUCGGAUCAGGUAGGAAGACCCGCUGAACUUAAGCAUAUCAAUAAGCGGAGGA
rnacentral:misc_RNA from 1 species